rnacentral:rRNA from 2 species
UACGUAGGGUGCGAGCGUUAAUCGGAAUUACUGGGCGUAAAGCGUGCGCAGGUGGUUCGUUAAGUCUGCUGUGAAAGCCCCGGGCUCAACCUGGGAAUGGCAGUGGAAACUGGCGAGCUUGAGUGUGGCAGAGGGGGGUGGAAUUCCACGUGUAGCAGUGAAAUGCGUAGAGAUGUGGAGGAACACCGAUGGCGAAGGCAGCCCCCUGGGCUGACACUGACACUCAGGCACGAAAGCGUGGGGAGCAAACAGG